UACGAAGGGUGCAAGCGUUAAUCGGACUUACUGGGCGUAAAGGGUGCGUAGGCGGUUGUUUAAGUCUGUCGUGAAAUCCCCGGGCUCAACCUGGGAAUGGCGAUGGAUACUGGGCAGCUAGAGUGUGUCAGAGGAUGGUGGAAUUCCCGGUGUAGCGGUGAAAUGCGUAGAGAUCGGGAGGAACAUCAGUGGCGAAGGCGGCCAUCUGGGACAACACUGACGCUGAAGCACGAAAGCGUGGGGAGCAAACAGG
rnacentral:rRNA from 1 species